GUUUUAAAUGUCAAAAAUAACUAGCAAAAGUUAAGCAUAUGUCUGACCUUGUCCAUCAGCGUUUUUUUUUCCUGGCUUCAAACUUUGUUUAUAUAUGGGUAUCAACACUAAAGUGUCAGUGGUGGAAUGAGCCUUGUGCACAAGGCAAACAGAAAUGAAAACCGCUGUUCCUAGAAGUUACUGAGCAUUUAAUUCCAGGACACUGGCAAGUGAGAUUGAUCAUCCAGUGUUGCUUGGAGAAAACAGCAAAUGCGUUUCUAGCAUGCCAGGAAAGCUCUUUCCAGAAGAAUUAACGCUGUUGUAAAAGCACCCCUCUGCAAUAGUGGGCACAAUUCCGAUUCCCUCGUGUUGAAAUGAGACAAUGGAGGACUGCUAAGGUGGCUGAGGAAAUAGGGCACCUGCCUGUCAGGAAGAGGCUGAAGAGAUUGGGAUAUAAGUGCUCUCUGUAAAUACUUGAGGAGUUAACACCAGUGAGAGGAAAAAACUAUUUAAUUUGAAGGAUGAAGCUGUGAAGAAACUUUGGCUAGUUUUCAGAAACAGCCAUGAGUGACAAAAGAUCUUCUAAGUGUUUUACCCUAAAUUUGGUAAAGGAACCUCAAAACUUGGAGAGUACUUUCUUCAUGGAUUUCCACAGAAAAAAAGGCACCAGGUCAGCACGGGCUUGCUCAGGCCAUUAUGCAGAUCCUGAAAAUUAGCUGCUCAAAACUGCAGACACACCCUGACCUUCUGUUUUGCUGGCUAGAGAUCAGGACAACUUUCACAGCUAUAUAAUAUAAUACUGUUGAACUUU